AGGACGAACGCUGGCGGCGUGCUUAACACAUGCAAGUCCAUCGGAAAGGCCCUGCUUUUGUGGGGUGCUCGAGUGGCGAACGGGUGAGUAACACGUGAGUAACCUGCCCUUGACUUUGGGAUAACUUCAGGAAACUGGGGCUAAUACCGGAUAGGAGCUCCUGCUGCAUGGUGGGGGUUGGAAAGUUUCGGCGGUUGGGGAUGGACUCGCGGCUUAUCAGCUUGUUGGUGGGGUAGUGGCUUACCAAGGCUUUGACGGGUAGCCGGCCUGAGAGGGUGACCGGCCACAUUGGGACUGAGAUACGGCCCAGACUCCUACGGGAGGCAGCAGUGGGGAAUAUUGCACAAUGGGCGGAAGCCUGAUGCAGCAACGCCGCGUGCGGGAUGACGGCCUUCGGGUUGUAAACCGCUUUCGCCUGUGACGAAGCGUGAGUGACGGUAAUGGGUAAAGAAGCACCGGCUAACUACGUGCCAGCAGCCGCGGUGAUACGUAGGGUGCGAGCGUUGUCCGGAUUUAUUGGGCGUAAAGGGCUCGUAGGUGGUUGAUCGCGUCGGAAGUGUAAUCUUGGGGCUUAACCCUGAGCGUGCUUUCGAUACGGGUUGACUUGAGGAAGGUAGGGGAGAAUGGAAUUCCCGGUGGAGCGGUGGAAUGCGCAGAUAUCAGGAGGAACACCAGUGGCGAAGGCGGUUCUCUGGGCCUUUCCUGACGCUGAGGAGCGAAAGCGUGGGGAGCGAACAGGCUUAGAUACCCUGGUAGUCCACGCUGUAAACGGUGGGUACUAGGUGUGGGGUCCAUUCCACGGGUUCCGUGCCGUAGCUAACGCUUUAAGUACCCCGCCUGGGGAGUACGGCCGCAAGGCUAAAACUCAAAGGAAUUGACGGGGCCCCGCACAAGCGGCGGAGCAUGCGGAUUAAUUCGAUGCAACGCGUAGAACCUUACCUGGGUUUGACAUGGAUCGGGAGUGCUCAGAGAUGGGUGUGCCUCUUUUGGGGUCGGUUCACAGGUGGUGCAUGGCUGUCGUCAGCUCGUGUCGUGAGAUGUUGGGUUAAGUCCCGCAACGAGCGCAACCCUUGUUCACUGUUGCCAGCACGUUAUGGUGGGGACUCAGUGGAGACCGCCGGGGUCAACUCGGAGGAAGGUGGGGAUGACGUCAAGUCAUCAUGCCCCUUAUGUCCAGGGCUUCACGCAUGCUACAAUGGCUGGUACAGAGAGUGGCGAGCCUGUGAGGGUGAGCGAAUCUCGGAAAGCCGGUCUCAGUUCGGAUUGGGGUCUGCAACUCGACCUCAUGAAGUCGGAGUCGCUAGUAAUCGCAGAUCAGCAACGCUGCGGUGAAUACGUUCCCGGGGCUUGUACACACCGCCCGUCAAGUCAUGAAAGUUGGUAACACCCGAAGCCGGUGGCCUAACCGUUGUGGGGGAGCCGUCGAAG
rnacentral:rRNA from 1 species